GCCAUUUUGGCUCAGUGGAUAGAGCAUCAGCCUGCAAACUGAAAGGACCCAAGUUCGAUUCUGGUCAAGGGCA
rnacentral:tRNA from 1 species